CUCUUUCCUGCUGGACUUGAACCAGGGGAGAUGUAAGUCUGGGGCUGCUCUCACCUUCUUGCCGCUGUGUGGAGCCUGCAAAUGACAGUGAUUCCUGGAGGGGAGCAGAGCUGAGCACAUAGGUAUGGAGAAGGUGAGGCCUGGUUCCUGAGUGGUUUACCCCUGGACUUUUCAGAAAACAGAAAUAUAUUUUUGCUUUUUUUUUUUUCCAGACAUAAUUAAGGUAAGGAUCAAGACGAGAUCACACUGGAAAAGGUGGGCCCUAAAUCCAGUGAGAGGAUAGGAAGGCCAGCACUCUUAUUCUGUCCUAAUAAGAGACAGAGACGGGCACACAGAGACACAGAAGAAGGCCAUGUGUUGAUGGAGGCAGAGACUGGAGUGAUGCCGUCCCAAGCCAGGGAGUGCCUGGCUCCGCCAGGCACUGGAAGAGGCACUGAAUGGAUGCUUCUCGAGAGCCUUUGGAGGGAGCAUGACCCUGCUGACACCUUGAUUUUGCACUUCUGGCUUCUGGAACUAUGAGAGGGAGUCCUCUGUGGUAAACUGGUGGAGUCCAAAGCAAUUGUGUUUGACAAAUAAAACCGAAUGAUCUGGGUGAUGAAAACGUAAUAGCAAAAGACCAAUCCUGAAGAAUCCUCAGGGCCCGGGUGAGGAGGGAGGUGAAGCUCCAGCUCUGCUGUACCUAAAGUCUGACAAAUAAAAGUCCUGAGAAUGGAG
rnacentral:lncRNA from 10 species